UACGUAGGGUGCAAGCGUUAAUCGGAAUUACUGGGCGUAAAGCGUGCGCAGGCGGUUUUGUAAGUCUGUCGUGAAAUCCCCGGGCUCAACCUGGGAAUUGCGAUGGAGACUGCAAGGCUAGAAUCUGGCAGAGGGGGGGUAGAAUUCCACGUGUAGCAGUGAAAAUGCGUAGAGAUGUGGAGGAAUACCGAUGGCGAAGGCAGCCCCCUGGGCCAAUACUGACGCUCAUGCACGAAAGCGUGGGAGCAAACAGG
rnacentral:rRNA from 1 species